rnacentral:rRNA from 1 species
UACGGAGGGUGCAAGCGUUGUUCGGAAUUACUGGGCGUAAAGAGCGUGUAGGCGGGUUGGUAAGUCAGAUGUGAAAGCCCCGGGCUCAACCCGGGAAGUGCAUUUGAAACUGCCAUCCUUGAGUAUGGGAGAGGAGAGUGGAAUUCCCAGUGUAGAGGUGAAAUUCGUAGAUAUUGGGAGGAACACCCGUGGCGAAGGCGGCUCUCUGGACCAAUACUGACGCUGAGACGCGAAAGCGUGGGGAGCAAACAGGAUUAGAUACCCGCGUA